rnacentral:rRNA from 1 species
AUUGAACGCUGGCGGCAGGCCUAACACAUGCAAGUCGAACGAGUGGCGGACGGGUGAGUAAUGUCUGGGAAACUGCCUGAUGGAGGGGGAUAACUACUGGAAACGGUAGCUAAUACCGCAUAACAGCAGAUGUGCCCAGAUGGGAUUAGCUUGUUGGUGGGGUAACGGCUCACCAAGGCGACGAUCCCUAGCUGGUCCGAGAGGAUGACCAGCCACACUGGAACUGAGACACGGUCCAGACUCCUACGGGAGGCAGCAGUGGGGAAUAGUGCACAAUGGGCGCAAGCCUGAUGCAGCCAUGCCGCGUGUAUGAAGAAGGCUUUCGGAUUGUAAAGUACUUUCAGCGGGGAAGCGUUACCCAAAGAAGAAGCACCGGCUAACUCCGUGCCAGCAGCCGCGGUAAUAC